rnacentral:misc_RNA from 1 species
GUGAAUCAUCGAAUUUUUGAACGCAAAUUGCACUCUCUUCGGUGAGUAUGCCUGUUUGAGGUUCAGCCUCGAAAACAUCGACAUAGUCGCUGUUUUCGCGGUGUCAUUCGUCUGGAAUUGGGUCAUCUGAAACCUUUGGGUUUUAAGCGACUUAAUGUUUUCGUUACGGAUUCCACGAACGUUUCUAAGUUGUA